AGCAGCCGCGGUAAUUCCAGCUCCAAUAGCGUAUAUUAAAGUUGUUGCAGUUAAAAAGCUCGUAGUUGAAUUUCGGGAUCAGUACAUUGGUCGUGCCUUCGGUAUGUACUGGUGUCACUGAUUCCUCCCUUCUGACGAACCGUGAUGUCAUUAAUUUGGUGUUGCGGGGAAUCAGGACUGUUACUUUGAAAAAAUUAGAGUGUUUAAAGCAGGCUCACGCUUGAAUACAUUAGCAUGGAAUAAUGAAAUAGGACGUUUGAUCCUAUUUUGUUGGUUUCUAGGAUCGACGUAAUGAUUAAUAGGGAUAGUUGGGGGCAUUAGUAUUCAAUUGUCAGAGGUGAAAUUCUUGGAUUUAUUGAAGACUAACUACUGCGAAAGCAUUUGCCAAGGAUGUUUUCAUUAAUCAAGAACGAAAGUUAGGGGAUCGAAGACGAUCAGAUACCGUCGUAGUCUUAACCAUAAACUAUGCCGACUAGGGAUCGGAUGAUGUUAAUUUUAUAAUGACU
rnacentral:rRNA from 1 species